rnacentral:rRNA from 1 species
GUGUCAGCAGCCGCGGUAAGACGAACCGUGCGAACGUUGUUCGGAAUCACUGGGCUUAAAGGGCGCGUAGGCGGGCUGUCAAGUCUGGGGUGAAAUCCCACGGCUCAACCGUGGAACUGCCUCGGAUACUGACGGCCUCGAGGGGGGUAGGGGCGUGCGGAACUGUGGGUGGAGCGGUGAAAUGCGUUGAUAUCCACAGGAACUCCGGUGGCGAAGGCGGCACGCUGGACCUCUUCUGACGCUGAGGCGCGAAAGCCAGGGGAGCAAACGGGAUUAGAAACCCGUGUAGUCC